GUAGUACUUCCUCCGUCUGAAAAUACUUGUCAGUGAAAUGGAUGUAUCUAGAUGUAUUUUAGUUCUAGAUACAUCAAUUUUCAUCCAUUUUGAUAACAAGUAAUUCUGGACUGAGGGAGUAUAUG
rfam:Triticum aestivum genome assembly, contig: Triticum_aestivum_CS42_TGACv1_scaffold_321045_4BL